UUUACAGUGCUAAACCUGAACCCCAGGUCAACUCCUCCUCUCUCUUGGCUGCUGUGCACACAUAUUUGGGGAUACCUCUUUAUUUUGGGACCUGGAGAAAACACCACAGGGAAAGACAUGGUGAUUGGCUUCCCAGGCCGAGAUGCAGAUCCAAGACCAGAAACUGCUACUCACACUAAGGCAUCUGCAUAGCCUCCUGGAGGAGCUUCGAGCUGAAAGCACCCACUGGCAGGACACAAGGCCCAGCAGAAACACAUCACCUUUCCGAGCAAGGCUGGGAUCAGAGGGCAGAGCCUGCCAGCCUGUGCCGAGGCAACUGACCGAGCUGCUCCGAGGGGAAAAGAGCAGGCGAAGCUCCCUUCCGUAGCCAGCCAGAGGACGCUCAUCAAAACCCUCCUACCACUAGUAUAAAUCAUGUGUCAGCUGUGUGUCCUUGAAUCUGUCAUUUAACUGUCUAUGUCACUUGCCAGAGGGUGUGUGUAUGUGUGUGUGUGUGUGUGUGUGUAAGAUAAAUUAUUGGAGGCAUAUAUGCUUUGUAAGUACAACUCUGUUACAUAGCUUCCAACAGGACGACACCAUUUUUCACAGGGCAGUUGUUAAAGAAAGAGUAUGAUAUACAAAGAGGGUUACCUACUGUUGCCUUGGCGAAAAAUCAGAACAUCUGUAAUGACUUCCUAUUUUCUGUGUUCCUGUUAGGCCUUCUUGUCCACCUUAAUCUGAUAGCAAAAGGUCCUGUUGCACCACAGAUCACAGAGAGGAGCAUGUCAGAUAUGUAAUUCAUGUUGGCUCGAACAUCAUAAUUCAUUAUUGGCUUAAUUCAUGGGCAUGCGACUCAACAAAGUCAACCACAAGCCUUCCUUGGGCUUGCUAUCUGGAUACUGCCAACCACACUUCUACAGUUAGAUUGAUUUCUUUUAGGCUGUGCUGAUCUUUGCCAGUA
rnacentral:lncRNA from 1 species